GAGGGUGUAGCUCAGUGGUAGAGGGCAUGUUUAGCAUGCACAAGAUCCUGGGUUCAAUCCCCAGUACCUCCA
rnacentral:tRNA from 1 species